UCCCCUUCGGGGGACAGAGUGACAGGUGGUGCAUGGUUGUCGUCAGCUCGUGUCGUGAGAUGUUGGGUUAAGUCCCGCAACGAGCGCAACCCUUGAUCUUAGUUGCCAGCAUUUAGUUGGGCACUCUAAGGUGACUGCCGGUGACAAACCGGAGGAAGGUGGGGAUGACGUCAAAUCAUCAUGCCCCUUAUGACCUGGGCUACACACGUGCUACAAUGGAUGGUACAAAGGGCUGCAAGACCGCGAGGUCAAGCCAAUCCCAUAAAACCAUUCUCAGUUCGGAUUGUAGGCUGCAACUCGCCUACAUGAAGCUGGAAUCGCUAGUAAUCGCGGAUCAGCAUGCCGCGGUGAAUACGUUCCCGGGCCUUGUACACACCGCCCGUCACACCACGAGAGUUUGUAACACCC
rnacentral:rRNA from 2 species